AGGAACAGGAAUUAACGACGACACAAAAACCUCUUACGGAUGAAGAUGUCAAGGAAGCUUAUAAGGCAAGAAGCUAUCUUUUCGACCAAGCGCGGCAACGAUACGCAGUAAAACGAAUGGCUGUACCUGAACCUUCUUUAAGUCGAAGAAAAAGACAAGCCGAAAUGGAGUCGGUUUCCGACGCACCAAGCUCCACAUCAGAUGUCGACAGCAAAGCGGCCUACAUGCAGCCGGAAACUUAUGGAAUGAACCUCAAUGGUGAUGGAGGCUACGUUUGGA